CCGCGUGACGUCACACUCCGUGCUGACAGAAGAUGGCGCUGAACAUGUUUUUAACACUUGAAGCACUGAUUUCUUAAAGCCAGCGUCACAGACAGAGUGACAGCUGUGGGAGUGUCUGAGAGCAGGUCCGUGGGGUAAAGGAGGUGUGCACCACUGAGGGCUGACGGAGGCCACUCAGUGACUUCUUCAUGACCUCUGUGGUUGCGUGCUGUACUUCUGGAUUACCAAAACGCAAGUUUAGAAGGAAAGUGACACACCUGCUUAGCCCCACCCCAAGCGGCUCUGUUUGGAGGCGGAGCUCCAGAUGUCCGACUGUCCAAUGGAGACGUCGCAGAGCAGUCCUGCGACCAAUCAGCAGCCGGAUCAACAGGUACGGCCCACACCUGUUCUGCUCUGCUGUCCGAGGUGUCUCAGAGGAGAACCGGGUCACUUCAACCACAUCAUGGGCCUCUGAAGCUCCACCCAUUCUCCUGCAACCAGCCGUCCAAUCACAUUGAUGCUUCAGGUGCUUCACUAAAAUGGUGCUGCUGGAAGAUGUCAUCAAGGCCCCACCCCACCUUCACAUCGUUGUCAAGGAGACGGUUUAACGUUUCCAUCCAGUGAUGCAUUCAGGACCAGCAGUACUCCUCAGACUUAAGUUCUGAAAUCUCUGAUGUCCUUGUAUCCCUGAACACACCACUGAGUGUGAGCGUUUACCUGAGCUUUAAGCCCACCCCCUCUCCUGUGUGAUAUGUGCAACAGUCCAAUCAAUGAUCAAUAACUGUGAUUGACGUGGUGGUGCGUUCACUGUCUCCGUUUAAAGGGCUUUCACACGGUGAAGACUUGUGAUGUGUUUACAGGAAAAAUGCCAGUAGAAUAUUUUUUAACUCCAGUAUAGAACCGACUGAAAGGCUUAACGAGGUGUUAAUGAGAGUUUACUAUAAGGGGAAGGAAAAUCCAUGUGGUUUUUCAAAAUAAGAGUCUUCGUGUCUGUACAUUUCUAUUUUUCUGAGGCAGAUUUGUAUAUUUUUUACUCUGAAUUUGACUGAAUGUAAAAGCAGCUCCCUAUUUUUGAUGACAUCACUUCCGCUAUCUGAGGCCAGCAUUUGUACUGAUUUCAGAAUAAAAGCUUUGACUGUGA
ensembl:lncRNA